AUAUAUAUAUAUAUAUAUAUAUAUCGCACUGCAUGGCGGACUUUAUUUCUUAGCGAUGAAGAGGAAGACGCGGCUGGAUCAAGACAAGUUUUGAAGUUCUGUCAACGAUGGACGAAUGAAGAUCCAUGGUUCAUGGCAGAAAAAGGGGAGAAAAUCAAUGCGACAGCGCUCGCUCGUUCACCCUGAACUGACGGUGAACCCCCCCCCCCCCGGCACGCUGCCAGCCUCUCCGCCCUGUCCCACCGCAUUCGAGGGUCACCACGGGGGUGUCUCUGCGCUAAUAUGCAGAUCGAGCCGCUGCCCCUCCGAUGACUCUGGCGUUAAGCUCCACCUCCCUCUACAGGGCGGAGGCUUUGAGAUUAAGUCUUCUCCCUUCAACGAGACUCUCACACAUAGACGUGAACUGUCUCUCGCACGGACUUCACCAACUUGCAUCCGCUCUAAUUUUCCGAAGCUUAAGGACAAUAUACAGAAUGUGCAUGCUGAGACAGAAAGAGAAAAAACAAAAAUACAAGGUCAUACCUCUUCAACACAGUUCAAUGAGGUAUCAACUCUUGUCUAGAGUCAGUAGCCAAAAACACAGGCAAACCCUACAGGUUUAUCUAAGAUUCUAAGGUUAUUGAGCAAGUUUUUUUGGGCUGGAGUAUCUGUCAUGAAUUACAAUGUAAUAAGCAACUUUUUGUAACUUUACAAGUUUUUUUCUACCUUGUAUAUAACUCCAAAACAGAGGGAGUGUAUUCGUAUUUUCUGAUAGAUCUAUAUUCUAUGUAAAUGCUUGUUUUAAAGUUUUGUCAAUAUAAAUUUAUAGACAGCAAAUUAAAUAAAAAAUGUGGGCAGCCAAGAGUAGAGUACAAAGGCACUAGUUUGAGUACAUUUCUAAUUGUAAUUGUGUCUAAUGGGCUUGAAAGCUAAAUGUAUUAAUGCAUGAGGGCAAAACUAUGUAAUGUGCAAAAUGUUUUUGUAAUUCUUAUUGCAAUUUUUACCUUGCAUCCAACAAUAAAACUGACGGUGAAUAUUU